rnacentral:rRNA from 1 species
AUUGAACGCUGGCGGCAGGCCUAACACAUGCAAGUCGAGCGGAUGAAGGGAGCUUGCUCCUGGAUUCAGCGGCGGACGGGUGAGUAAUGCCUAGGAAUCUGCCUGGUAGUGGGGGAUAACGUCCGGAAACGGGCGCUAAUACCGCAUACGUCCUGAGGGAGAAAGUGGGGGAUCUUCGGACCUCACGCUAUCAGAUGAGCCUAGGUCGGAUUAGCUAGUUGGUGGGGUAAAGGCCUACCAAGGCGACGAUCCGUAACUGGUCUGAGAGGAUGAUCAGUCACACUGGAACUGAGACACGGUCCAGACUCCUACGGGAGGCAGCAGUGGGGAAUAUUGGACAAUGGGCGAAAGCCUGAUCCAGCCAUGCCGAGUGUGUGAAGAAGGUCUUCGGAUUGUAAAGCACUUUAAGUUGGGAGGAAGGGAAGUAAGUUAAUACCUUGAUGUUUUGACGUUACCAACAGAAUAAGCACCGGCUAACUUCGUG